GAUGAACGCUGGCGGGGUGCCUAAUACAUGCAAGUCGAGCGAACGGACGAGAAGCUUGCUUCUCUGAUGUUAGCGGCGGACGGGUGAGUAACACGUGGAUAACCUACCUAUAAGACUGGGAUAACUUCGGGAAACCGGAGCUAAUACCGGAUAAUAUUUUGAACCGCAUGGUUCAAAAGUGAAAGACGGUCUUGCUGUCACUUAUAGAUGGAUCCGCGCUGCAUUAGCUAGUUGGUAAGGUAACGGCUUACCAAGGCAACGAUGCAUAGCCGACCUGAGAGGGUGAUCGGCCACACUGGAACUGAGACACGGUCCAGACUCCUACGGGAGGCAGCAGUAGGGAAUCUUCCGCAAUGGGCGAAAGCCUGACGGAGCAACGCCGCGUGAGUGAUGAAGGUCUUCGGAUCGUAAAACUCUGUUAUUAGGGAAGAACAUAUGUGUAAGUAACUGUGCACAUCUUGACGGUACCUAAUCAGAAAGCCACGGCUAACUACGUG
rnacentral:rRNA from 1 species